GGACCCUUAGCUCAGCGGCAGAGCGUCUGAUUCCAGGAGCGAGGCUUCCAGAAGGUCGUCCGUUCAAUCCGGGCAGGGUUCA